UUUAGGUUAAUAAAAUAAAUUUUAAAGCUUCAGUCUAAGAAUAAUUUUGCUCUGUGGAUUUUUUAAGGGCAAUUUGAAUAAUUUCUUACAGUCUUAAUAGCCCUUUAAAAACUUUGACAAGACAAAGAUAAGAGUAUUUCACCAAUAAGAUUGUUAAUUUCUAGAGUGUUUUAAGGUGUAAGCUGCUGAUUAAAGGUAUGUCUCUUUCUCAUUCAUUAGUUAGUUGGUUUUCUAAAGGAGAAUUGAAACCUUUUGUGAUAUCUGAAGUAGAAUUUACCUCGAGCUCUGGAAACUGCUCAGAGAAUGCAUGGGGCUCUUUGCAGUGGUGGGAGAGAGAGCAUUGCAGAGUCUUGAAAUCUAUCUUUGAGCAGGAGACUCUCAUUUUACGCUUUUUAGUUGUUAGUACUUAAAUUAUUGUCUCAUAUUAGUGUUGGUGUAUUGCAUGUAAGCUGUUUACAGUCUCCUAUGUUAUAGUUUCUGAAGAUGAAAAUACUAAUUCUCAGAGUAAAUACCACAAUUAAAAAGCUGACAUAUGACUUUUAAAAAAUAUCUAAUGUCUGAUCAGUGGGCAUUAGAAUCUUUAAUAUACAUUUUUGGGAAACUAAAAUCAGUUUUUAAAUGAGGACUAUAAAUCUUUUGUGUAAAAGGCAGAAUCAGAAAGUGUUCCAGUCAGCUCUGUUUCUCUGAAGACACGGCAGUCGAUUGUUCUUGAGAAAGAGAAUUUUAAGAAACCAAAGCUGGAAGCUUAAGGUUGUUUAACUUUGCAGGUUCAAAACAUCACCAAUUGAUUUUACUCUGCUACGUUUUCUCAGUAAAUCAAUUUUAUUUUCUUGUAUUGUUUUAAUGCUAUAAUUUCAGAGCCCAAGUUAAUUCUCAUCAUGCCCAAAGAAGUUAUAAUAAAAAUGUUCUAGUGUCUUGUCUUCAGGCAGUGAGGUAGAACAGUAUUUGUAGAAGAGUGCAUUCCCUUUCUUAGGUUGUCUUUCGCAUUCUCUAGGUAUAAUUUCUGAGAGUGUACCACUCUGAAGAAGAGAAAUUAGCUCUAUUACGUUGACAUGAAAUUUGUCAUAAUUUUUUAAGUUCAUUGAAAAAAUGUUACUUUGCAUAUUUGAGUAAAACAUAUCAUAUUCUUUAAAUCAGCACUUGUGUGUCCAGUGUGCCCAAUUGCAUGCUCAGCCUCAAAUACAAAUUUGCUCUCCUAGCGCCUUUAAAUUUGCUUAGGUAAAUGUUAGAAAAUGUUCUUCCCGUGUUUCGGUAAUUUGUUAUUGUCUGGGAUAAUUUAAUUGAGUAAAUUUCUAUCUUGGUUUUCUUUCUCUUCAAAUAUUAGUCUUUUACUUGAAAAUUGUUGGUAAAUGCAUGUGAUUUCAGCAUUAAGAUAGAAUCGGACAUACAAUAAAAUAGGUUAUCCCAAGAGUGGUGAAAACAACGCUGCUGGUUCUUGCUUGGACGUCCUGGUGAGUACAGUGUGUGCUCUGUCUCCUGUGCAUCCUCAGAGCUGAUGCUGUGCAGAGCUGACUUCAUUUUGCUCUAUGGAGAGUGCAUGGUCAGCCUUCCCAGGGAUUUCUUUCUCAGUUC
rnacentral:lncRNA from 1 species